UUGCCUUUUUCCAGUUCCAGUAGCUGGCUAUUCCUAAGGCUCCAGGUUUUACAUAAGGGCUUAGUUCCAGCUCACCUGCCUCAUCAAAGCUCAGCCUUGUGCUUGGACAUUAAAACUCAACUACUGGCUCCUGAGGCAUACAGCCAAGUAUAAAAUUUUGGAGGGCUACCGCAGUAUCUGUUCUGCUUUCUGCUCUUCAAUGUUUAAAAUUUAUUUCGGGCACUGAGAAUUUCCUUUUUGUUGUUUUUUGUUUUUACGGUUGUAUAUGGUUUAUAUAACAAUAAUUAUAUUUUAUCCAUUAUUUCUAUGAGUUUGUAAAGGAAAGCUCAGUCGACCAUGUUGGAGGAGGUCUUCUCAUUUACUUUUCGUGAAGAACAUCAGUGAUCUUUGUUUUGCUCCUCCCGAGCCUUCCUUACAGAGCUCACAUUCUCUAUUCAAAGUCACUUUUCCUAAAAACCAGCGAUUACUUUUCUAAAGAAGUCUGGUACUAGGUCUUAAAAAAGUAUUUUCAGCCAGGCGCGGUGGCUCAUGCCUGUAAUCCCAGCACUUUGGGAGGCCAAGGUGGGCAGAUAGGAGGUCAGGAGAUCGAGAGUAUCCUGGCUCCAACAUGGCGAAACCCCAUCUCUACUAAAAUACAAAAAUUAGCUGGGUGUGGUGAUACAUGCCUGUAAUCCCAGCUACUCAGAAGGCUGAGGCACAAGAAUCGCUUGAACCCAGGAGGCAGACAGAAGUUGCAAUGAGCCUAGAUCGCACCGCUGCACUCCAGCCUGGUGACAGAGCUUUUUUUAAAAAGAAAAUUUUCAUGUACUACUCAUAAAAAGAUGAAGAUCAUGUCUCCAAGUCUUUUCUGCCGUUGCCAGUAUCCUCUCCCAAUCUCCUGUGGGCAACUUCUUCGGGAAAACACUCAUGCGAUUUCUUAAGGACAAGCAAUAACGUAAGGCAUGGAAUGGUCUAGGUACAUACGUAUUAAAAACAUAUUUCUGUCCUUAUGCUAAUAAAAGAAAGAUAUUUUUAAAAUAAACCUGUUUACGUUAAUGUCACUAUGUUAAAAUAUAAAGCAAAGCAGUUCAUUUCUUUGCUGCUACAUGUCUAAAAUAUUUCUAUUGCAACUGGGAACCAUUGUUCUACAUUUGUGUAAAUGAGUAUCCAUUCAGAUGACUUUACAAAACCAAAAGUGUUUGUGCCUGAAAGUUUAAUCCCUCACGUUUUAAGAGAAAGAAAACACUUGCAAUUUUUAAACAACAGUUUUCCCCAUUGUUGCCUUUCAAGGAUUUAAAUAAUCUUUUAUUUCAGAUUUAGCUUGAAUUAUUUAUAAUGAUUAUUAGAAAGUAAUUUUAUUGCUUAAAAUAUUGAUUUAUACUUGUGCUACACUUAGUUCCAUACACAUUUCCUAAGUUACUUCAUGUAAUACAGGUAAUUUCCUUUUCAUAGAUGAAGAAGCUGGAUCUUGGAACUAGGCUUUGAUCACGGAGCGGAGCUGAGAUGAAAGUCCAUUCACUCAUUCAACAAAUAAUAAUGAGUGCUUACAAAAAUUUCUGCUGUAUGGAGCUUAUAUUGUAGUGAAUAUCAAUUCUUAUUUUAUUGAUUAUAAAGCAGAACCUUUUGCAACAAUUUUACACUACCCUAGGAGUACCUAUCAGUCUUCAUGCCUCAAGUAAUUGUCCUGUCCAUGUGUCCAUGUGACUACGGAAGCCCUGAAAUCUUUGAAACCCUAGAUGACCCAUUUCACCAGACGCUUGGACAUUCUCUGUCGAGUUUGGAUUUAUAGUGGGUACCCAGAUUUAGGUCAAGAACAUAAAAUCUGAACUGCUUUAGGCACUGCCCAUAAGGAGUGAAUUCCUAGUGAAAAUGCAAUGUCCCUCAGGAAUGAUUGCUAUAGCAGGCUAAAAGGUAGAUUUAUAAAUGUUUAUAAAAAGCAGAUUAGAUUUAGCAGAGGUAGCAGUGAUGACCAGGAGCAAUAGGAGGAAAUGUUCUUAAUAGUGCUGUUUGGUGGCAUCUUCUUUUUAUACAAAGAAGUCUUGCAAGCAUUUCUACUUGAAUGACUAAUUUGGAGUAAUUUUUAGUUUCUGUAUUUUUAUUAGUUAAUAGGAUCUAGGAAUAUAAUAACCUGGUGAGAAUUUCUCUGUGAAUGGCAAUCAAAUUUGUCUUAUUCAUGAAACUCAUAAAUAAGCUUUAAUCCAGCAUUUUAUAGCUAGGGAAAAUAACACUGGGAUCCUGCUAUUUAAGAGGCUAAGGGAAUUUAAUAGAACACUGGGGGAUUUAUAGUAGAUUUAUGAUGAAGAUACAUUCUAACUGGAAGCUUAAUUGUUAUUUAAAAUAUAGGUCAAGCUGUGCAAUGUGUUUCCUUUUUAGGGGGAAAUCUUUAGAGAGAUAGAGUGUGCUUGUUUAAAGAGGAAACAGACCAAAUGAGAAAACAGAUUGCAUUUUCUGUUUUUCUUUUAAAAUUUCAAGCUGCUUUAAGUCAAAUUGCCCCUGAGUUCCUGAUGAUGGCUGUGGCGAAACUGCCUUGUUUUACUUUCUUGCCUUCUUUUCCAGAGCAGUUAUUUUACC